rnacentral:rRNA from 1 species
UAGGGAAUCUUCCGCAAUGGGCGAAAGCCUGACGGAGCAACGCCGCGUGAGUGAUGAAGGUCUUCGGAUCGUAAAACUCUGUUAUUAGGGAAGAACAAAUGUGUAAGUAACUAUGCACGUCUUGACGGUACCUAAUCAGAAAGCCACGGCUAACUACGUGCCAGCAGCCGCGGUAAUACGUAGGUGGCAAGCGUUAUCCGGAAUUAUUGGGCGUAAAGCGCGCGUAGGCGGUUUUUUAAGUCUGAUGUGAAAGCCCACGGCUCAACCGUGGAGGGUAAUUGGAAACUGGAAAACUUGAAUGCAGAAGAGGAAAGUGGAAUUCCAUGUGUAGCGGUGAAAUGCGCAGAGAUAUGGGGGAACACCAGUGGCGAAGGCGACUUUCUGGUCUGUAACUGACGCUGAUGUGCGAAAGCGUGGGGAUCAAACAGG